AGUCGGGCAAGAACCAUCGUGUGUUGAAGCACAAUGGCGCCGACCCGGUGGGGGAUCGCUGGCAGUGGCAAAAUAUCUUCCGACUUCGUUAACGUCGUCCAGCACCUGAAUGACCCUUACAUGUUAAUCGUGGCGGUUGCCGAUCGCUCCGUUGACUCCGCGCAGAAGUUUGCUGAGAAGUUCAAAGUGAAGAAAUUUUACGGCAGCUUCCAGGCUCUCGCCG
rnacentral:lncRNA from 1 species